AUGACCUAUGAGGCGUACGAUAUCAACGGCUACACAUUCUACACCGAGGCCAAGGACAUGAAGAGCGAUGGUUAUCAGAACUCCGGGGUAACGAUGGAAUCCUACACCGGUAACGACAAGGACAGAUACUACGGAAGGAUCGAGGAGAUCUGGGAGCUGAGCUACGCUGGAGAGAAGGUCCCGAUGUUCCGUGUCAGAUGGGCCAAGAGCGUCCUAAAAGAAGACCGGUAUUUCACCACCAUGGUUAUACCCGAAGCCAAAUCCAAGACCGCAGGUGCAAACGUCACCGCGAAAAAUGAGCCAUGGGUACUGGCUUCCCAAGUGGACCAAUGCUUCUUCAUUACCGACCCGUCAAAGCCCAGUCGUGUUGUCGUGAGGAGAGGCAAAAGGAAGAUCAUCGGAAUGGAUGGAGUAGCCAAUGAGCAAGACUUCGACAAGUACGGCGACCCGAGAAUCGAACAUGACAACGAUGAUGAAGUAGCAGCAUACACCACAAGAAGAAGCAGGACCACCCUACCUAAAGGACGUCCGUUCCACAGAAGAACUCCAUUUGCGAAAAAGAAGGGCAAGAAGAUUAUGAACAGAUAG
rnacentral:rRNA from 1 species